rnacentral:snoRNA from 2 species
AGCUUAUGGUGAUGGCUUGUAUAAGGAGGUAUCUGAGCAAGGUGGCUCUCCAAUGGCUGGUCCUUGCAUGAUUACAUCCAAAAUUGAGGCUGGACAUCUGAGCAAACU